CAUCAGAUGAUGAAUGCAACUGUUCAACUGCUGAGUGGAACAGCUAUGAACUCAAAUGUCAUUCUGAUUGCG